rnacentral:rRNA from 1 species
CCUACGGGUGGCAGCAGUGAGGAAUAUUUGUCAAUGGACGAGAGUCUGAACCAGCCAAGUAGCGUGAAGGAUGACUGCCCUAUGGGUUGUAAACUUUUUUUAUAUGGGAAUAAAACAGGGUAUGCAUACCCUCUUGUAUGUACCAUCUGAAUAAGGAUCGGCUAACUCCGUGCCAGCAGCCGCGGUAAUCAGGAGGUUCCGAGCGUUAUCCGUAUUUAUUGGGUUUAAAGGGAGCGUAGGGGGAUUGUUAAGUCAGUUGUGAAAGUUCGCGGCUCAACCGUAAAAUUGCAGUUGAAACUGGCAGGCUUGAGUACAGUAGAGGUGAGCGGAAUUCGUGGUGUAGCGGUGAAAUGCUUAGAUAUCACGAAGAACUCCGAUUGCGAAGGCAGCUCACUGGACUGCAACUGACACUGAUGCUCGAAAGUGUGGGUAUCAAACAGGAUUAGAUACCCGGGUAGUC